rnacentral:rRNA from 1 species
GUCGAGGAUCAUUCGCAAUGGGCGAAAGCCUGACGAUGCGACGCUGCGUGGAGGAUGAAGGCCCUCGGGUCGUAAACUCCUGUCAUGGGGGGCGAGGCGGAGGCGGUUAACGGCCGCCCGAGUUGACGGUACCCCAAGAGGAAGCCACGGCUAACUCUGUGCCAGCAGCCGCGGUAAUACAGAGGUGGCGAGCGUUGUUCGGAUUUACUGGGCAUAAAGGGCGCGUAGGCGGCCGCGUGUGUGGGGUGUGAAAUCUCCGGGCUCAACCCGGAAAGUGCGCUCCAAACUGCGCGGCUCGAGUGCGGGAGGGGAGAUCGGAAUGCAGGGUGUAGCGGUGAAAUGCGUUGAUAUCCUGCAGAACACCGGUGGCGAAGGCGGAUCUCUGGAACGCAACUGACGCUGAGGCGCGAAAGCAGGGGGAGCAAACAGGAUUAGAUACCCUAGUAGUCC